AACGAACGCUGGCGGCAGGCCUAACACAUGCAAGUCGAGCGGUAGAGAGAAGCUUGCUUCUCUUGAGAGCGGCGGACGGGUGAGUAAUGCCUAGGAAUCUGCCUGGUAGUGGGGGAUAACGUUCGGAAACGGACGCUAAUACCGCAUACGUCCUACGGGAGAAAGCAGGGGGACCUUCGGGCCUUGCGCUAUCAGAUGAGCCUAGGUCGGAUUAGCUAGUUGGUGAGGUAAUGGCUCACCAAGGCGACGAUCCGUAACUGGUCUGAGAGGAUGAUCAGUCACACUGGAACUGAGACACGGUCCAGACUCCUACGGGAGGCAGCAGUGGGGAAUAUUGGACAAGUGGGCGAAAGCCUGAUCCAGCCAUGCCGCGUGUGUGAAG
rnacentral:rRNA from 1 species